UUUAAGUUUAGUUUGAAUUUGAGCUUAGUGAUUUGAAUAUACUUGUUUGUUAUUGUUGUUGAGUCUAAAAUUAGGUUUGUUGUUAAAAAUGUUGUUUAGUCAAAUUAAUUGCAGUUGGUUCUUUGCUGUUCAUCAUGUAGUUUGAAUUUGUUGAUUAAAUUUGAUUAGGGAUUGGUUAUAGCUGUUGUAUCUUGGUUAGUUCAUUAGGUGAAUUGAUUAUAGCUGAUGGGGGU
rnacentral:lncRNA from 1 species